rnacentral:rRNA from 1 species
UACGUAGGGCGCAAGCGUUGUCCGGAAUUAUUGGGCGUAAAGAGCUCGUAGGCGGCUCGUUGCGUCGGCUGUGAAAACCCGCAGCUCAACUGUGGGCCUGCAGCCGAUACGGGCGGGCUAGGAUUCGGUAGGGGAGACUGGAAUUUACGGUGUAGCGGUGAAAUGCGUAGAUAUCGUAAGGAAGACCAGUGGCGAAGGCGGGUCUCUGGACAGUUCCUGACGCUGAGGCACGAAGGUCAGGGGAGCAAACGGG